rnacentral:rRNA from 1 species
UACGGAGGGUGCGAGCGUUGUCCGGAAUCACUGGGCGUAAAGGGCGCGUAGGCGGCCUGAUAAGUAGGGGGUGAAAUCCUGCGGCUUAACCGCAGGGCUGCCUUCUAAACUGUCGGGCUGAGAGCACGGUAGAGGCAGAUGGAAUUCCCGGUGUAGCGGUGGAAUGCGUAGAGAUCGGGAAGAACAUCAGUGGCGAAGGCGGUCUGCUGGGCCGUUGCUGACGCUGGAGGCGCGACAGCGUGGGGAGCAAACAGG